UGAUAUAUGUGCAUCCUCGUGCACAUUAUAGUGACACGUGUCACCAUCCUACAACCUAUCCAAUGAAAAAUUGACAUGCAUCUUGUGCGCUUCUGAUCAAAAUCCUGAAAAUUAAUCACAAAGUUAUACUUUUAUUAUAAAAAGAAUAAAGAAACUCCAAAAAAAAAAAAAGACUUACAUAUAUAAAUAGUUUGAAUAAUCUAGAUUCCAAGUUGUCUAUAUUAGCUUGAUCUUUUUAUAAAUAGUCAUCUUCGAAAAAAAAUUCCACCAACAUAUAUUUUAAUUUUAUGUUAAUUAAUAAAUAGAAAAAAAUCAUUUUAGAAUUAAUUAAAACAUUAUUUAUUGUUGCCAAAAAAAGGAAGAAUUUAGUGAUAAGAAAAAAGUGUCUCAAAUAUACGUUAAAAAAAUUAAUCAUGGUGGGUUCGAUUGAUUGAAUUUUUUUUUUUAAUCUUUUUCUUUUUUAAGAAUUAAGACAAUUGGAUUGAUUGAGUAAUAAUAAAAUAUAUUUAUUUGGCAAAUGGCAGGUAGGCUUUCUUCUGAUGCAGAUUGAUUAUAGAGAAUAUACAACAAUUUUAAGCUCGUCAGAUUCGGAACCUGCUUAUCUGUCGUGUGGGGAUCACUUCCGUGUCUUAUUUUUCUAGAAAAAUCUGGACCAUUAGGCAGUAGAGAAAUGUUGAUCUUGAUUCCUGAUCAGGAUCGAAGUUUGAUUCUAUCUAACAUGAUAUCAGAUUGCGAAGCAGGCUAGUAUGUAAAUUUCUUUUAUCUUUUAGAGGAAAAUGGGCAAGAGAAGAAGAUUUGGCAAAGGAAUUGCAACCGCAUUUCUAGUAUGUUCUGAUCAGAGAAGCGAAAUCCAUCACGGUCUUUUAUCUUUACCCAUGUGGAGAAAUCAAGGGAUUUCGAAUCAGAGAAGCGAUGGGAUUUAGUUCUGAUCUGGGAUUUUGGAGACUUAGGGAGUGUGCGGUCUUGGACCAACAUUGAUGACGAUGACGCUUCAAAUUCAAUGACUUGAAAGCAGAAAACAAAGACAGACAAAAACAGACAUGCACUACAGCAAGAAAGAUUGACUGAAUCUUGGGUUACUGUGUCUGUGGUCUCAAAUGAAACACAAGUGGGAAGCCUUGCUGCAGUUUCAGCUUUGGUUUGUGUUUGAAGUUUUGAAUGUAAAAAGAGAACCGAGCAUGUGGUUGCCGACAAGAAUGGCCUGAGGUUUCUUAAGCUUCAUUGUAAUGUUACAACUGCUACUAAUUUGGUGGGGUGGGAGGUCGCUGGGUCGCUGUCAGUCCAUUUGCUUCUUUUCUUUCUUUUUGUUAUUUGUUGAGUUUUUUCCAUUUCUACUUUUCUUAAUAUAUAAAUUAUCAUUUUUUUAACAUGCAAAAUAUAUAGAACAUUUUAUGAGUUUAUAAAUAAAAAUUAUAUUAUGGGAUAAUAGUGAAUGAGUUCCUGGUGCUUUGGAGUUCUUUAAAUUAAGGGCCCAGUUUGUCC
rnacentral:lncRNA from 1 species